CUAAGUAUAAGCAAUUAUACAGCGAAACUGCGAAUGGCUCAUUAUAUAAGUUAUCGUUUAUUUGAUAGUACCUUACUACUUGGAUAACCGUGGUAAUUCUAGAGCUAAUACAUGCUAAAAAUCCCGACUUCGGAAGGGAUGUAUUUAUUAGAUUAAAAACCAAUGCCCUUCGGGGCUCCUUGGUGAUUCAUGAUAACUCCUCGAAUCGCAUGGCCUUGUGCCGGCGAUGGUUCAUUCAAAUUUCUUCCCUAUCAACUUUCGAUGUUUGGGUAUUGGCCAAACAUGGUUGCAACGGGUAACGGAGGGUUAGGGCUCGACCCCGGAGAAGGAGCCUGAGAAACGGCUACUACAUCCAAGGAAGGCAGCAGGCGCGCAAAUUACCCAAUCCCGACACGGGGAGGUAGUGACAAUAAAUACUGAUACAGGGCUCUUUUGGGUCUUGUAAUUGGAAUGAGUACAAUUUAAAUCCCUUAACGAGGAACAAUUGGAGGGCAAGUCUGGUGCCAGCAGCCGCGGUAAUUCCAGCUCCAAUAGCGUAUAUUAAAGUUGUUGUGGUUAAAAAGCUCGUAGUUGAACCUUGGGCCUGGCUGGCCGGUCCGCCUCACCGCGUGUACUGGUCCGGCCGGGCCUUUCCCUCUGUGGAACCCCAUGCCCUUCACUGGGUGUGGCGGGGAAACAGGACUUUUACUUUGAAAAAAUUAGAGUGCUCCAGGCAGGCCUAUGCUCGAAUACAUUAGCAUGGAAUAAUAGAAUAGGACGUGUGGUUCUAUUUUGUUGGUUUCUAGGACCGCCGUAAUGAUUAAUAGGGACAGUCGGGGGCAUCAGUAUUCAAUUGUCAGAGGUGAAAUUCUUGGAUUUAUUGAAGACUAACUACUGCGAAAGCAUUUGCCAAGGAUGUUUUCAUUAAUCAGGAACGAAAGUUAGGGGAUCGAAGACGAUCAGAUACCGUCGUAGUCUUAACCAUAAACUAUGCCGACUAGGGAUCGGACGAUGUUAUUUUUUGACUCGUUCGGCACCUUACGAGAAAUCAAAGUGCUUGGGCUCCAGGGGGAGUAUGGUCGCAAGGCUGAAACUUAAAGAAAUGACGGAA
rnacentral:rRNA from 1 species